AGUGAACGCUGGCGGUAGGCCUAACACAUGCAAGUCGAACGGCAGCACAGUAAGAGCUUGCUCUUACGGGUGGCGAGUGGCGGACGGGUGAGGAAUACAUCGGAAUCUACUUUUUCGUGGGGGAUAACGUAAGGAAACUUACGCUAAUACCGCAUACGACCUACGGGUGAAAGCAGGGGAUCUUCGGACCUUGCGCGAUUGAAUGAGCCGAUGUCGGAUUAGCUAGUUGGCGGGGUAAAGGCCCACCAAGGCGACGAUCCGUAGCUGGUCUGAGAGGAUGAUCAGCCACACUGGAACUGAGACACGGUCCAGACUCCUACGGGAGGCAGCAGUGGGGAAUAUUGGACAAUGGGCGCAAGCCUGAUCCAGCCAUACCGCGUGGGUGAAGAAGGCCUUCGGGUUGUAAAGCCCUUUUGUUGGGAAAGAAAAGCAGCAGGUUAAUACCCAGCUGUUCUGACGGUACCCAAAGAAUAAGCACCGGCUAACUUCGUG
rnacentral:rRNA from 1 species